AGCGGCGGAUGGGUGAGUAACACGUGGGGAACCUGCCCCUAAGUCUGGGAUACCAUUUGGAAACAGGUGCUAAUACCGGAUAAUAAAGCAGAUCGCAUGAUCAGCUUUUGAAAGGCGGCGUAAGCUGUCGCUAAGGGAUGGCCCCCCGGUGCAUUAGCUAGUUGGUAAGGUAACGGCUUACCAAGGCGACGAUGCAUAGCCGAGUUGAGAGACUGAUCGGCCACAUUGGGACUGAGACACGGCCCAAACUCCUACGGGAGGCAGCAGUAGGGAAUCUUCCACAAUGGACGCAAGUCUGAUGGAGCAACGCCGCGUGAGUGAAGAAGGUUUUCGGAUCGUAAAGCUCUGUUGUUGGUGAAGAAGGAUAGAGGUAGUAACUGGCCUUUAUUUGACGGUAAUCAACCAGAAAGUCACGGCUAACUACGUGCCAGCAGCCGCGGUAAUACGUAGGUGGCAAGCGUUGUCCGGAUUUAUUGGGCGUAAAGCGAGCGCAGGCGGAAAAAUAAGUCUAAUGUGAAAGCCCUCGGCUUAACCGAGGAACUGCAUCGGAAACUGUUUUUCUUGAGUGCAGAAGAGGAGAGUGGAACUCCAUGUGUAGCGGUGGAAUGCGUAGAUAUAUGGAAGAACACCAGUGGCGAAGGCGGCUCUCUGGUCUGCAACUGACGCUGAGGCUCGAAAGCAUGGGUAGCGAACAGGAUUAGAUACCCUGGUAGUCCAUGCCGUAAACGAUGAGUGCUAAGUGU
rnacentral:rRNA from 1 species